CGCUUGUUGAGGCUACAAUGCGCAGUGAGAUAAAGGACGUCGGUUUAUACAUUCCAUUUCCUAUAGGCACUAAUGUGCGCCCUGAAAAGACAGACCUCCAAGAAACAGAAGAUAUUUAUAUAAAAGUAUAACACCUAGGAUGAGAAUGCGCUGAAAUAGUGAGGAGACGUCUGGGCGUCACAUUCUACAGAGAGAAGUUUUAGCUGAAACAAGUCCAGGCGGACAAUGACCUCAAACACACCUCCAGGCUGUGUAAGGGCUAUUUGACCAUGAACGAGCGUGAUUGGGUGCUGCACCUGAUGACCUGGCCUCCACAGUCACCAGACCUGAACCCAAUGAAGGCAAAAGGCCCAAUAAGUGCUAAGCAUCUCUGGGAACUCCUUCAAGACUGUUGGAAGACCAUUUCAGGUGACUACCUCUUGAAGCUCAUCAAGAGAAUGCCAAGAGUGUGCAAAGCAGUAAUCAAAGCAAAAGUUGGCUACUUUGAAGAACCUAGAAUAUGACAUAUUGCCAGUUGUUUCACACUUUUUUGUUAUGUCUAUAAUUCCACAUGUGUUAAUUCAUAGUUUUGAUGCCUUCAGUGUGAAUCUAUAAUUUUCAUAGUCAUGAAAAUAAAGAAAACUCUUUGAAUGAGAAGGUGUGUCCAAACUUUUGGUCUGUACUGUAAAUGUGGUGUACAUAAAUAAAUGCACUGGUGAUGUACAACAGUACAAUGUAUAAUGUACAAUUUAUACAUGGCCUAUAAAUGGAUGAUAUGCUGUCUGAGAUAGAACUCUAUCCUGGGCUGCAGCAUGAAAGAGCGUACAGAUGCAGGGACACAGAAGAAGAGUCUCCAGCAAGGGGACAGUAUGGAGAGCGGUUGUGAGCAUAAAACUGGAUUACAAAAUGUCACAUAUAAAGGAAAAGGUAAUCUCGGGAAUGUAAGAACACAGUCAAAACACAACACUUAGCAGGAAUAUGGAGCUCAACGCUAAGAUGUAUACAUCUGGAGAUUCAGCAGCCUGUGCCACUCACUCUGUCAGGCCAAACACAUCCUCCUGCUGCAGUCAGUUUUAUGUUUAAGCUACAGCUGGGACCUCCUGACUUUACAAAGACCUACUACUAG